AAAAAAAAGAAAAAAGAAAAAAAAGAAACAUCAUAGCCAUUGUACAUUAAGCAGAAUGACCAUGGUGGGCACUAGUGUGAUAUGCAAUGAGAGAAAUCACAGAGGUCAGAUGAUGCAGAGCUUUGAAGGCCAUUGCGAGAACAUUCUAAACAAGAUGGGAAGCUGACACAGGGUUGAUAGCAGAGGAGUAAUAAACCACAAUACGUUUUUACAUUUUAAAGGGUGCCUUCUGUGCUGUGUUGAGGACAGACUGUAGUGUGGAGAGUGCUGCAGCAGAGAGAGAACUCUUGGGAGGCUCUUACAAUCAUUUAAGCUAGAGACAAUAGACUAAGAGGGUCAGUAUUCCACAACGCACCUUCUGGAGCACACAGGUGCCUUGCCACACCAGUCGGGAACUUCUGCUCUGCAAAGUCCAAAGACUAAGCUAAAGUUUAGCCAUUCUCCACUAAGUCCUCCAUGGCCACCACGCAGCCACACCUUCAGACACCAAGACAAGUCCUCCUUCUCCGUGUCCCACAGUGCCUUGUCUCCUGAGAUGACAAGCUCCUUGGCACCAGAGAUGGUAUCUUUCUCAUCUUUGCCUCCUCGGAGAUACAGUACACUAUACACUGUACAGUGCAUAGUACACAGGAGAAGAGGCACAAGAAUGUGGAAUAUGUGACCCAUGUACAUGAAGAUAUUCCUGGUUCACUCAAAAGUACGAUUUUGAGAAGCCCACCUAGAGUCAGAAGGCCCUUGAAAGAUGCAGACCCUCAACUUUGGACUUCCCAGCCUCUAGAACUGUAAG
rnacentral:lncRNA from 1 species